rnacentral:lncRNA from 1 species
CUUUUGCUUAGAGCUCUUUUUUUUUGCUACUAGUACAUCCAUUAAUGUACGUAAUUUUAUUAUCACAUGACUGUGGUCUAAUUUGACCAGUAAAAUAUAAUGUAUUUCUAUUAUAAGCCAUCUGAUCAAAAAUACUUCUAACCUAAGAUAAAACCCAAAAUCCAAAUAUAUUAUUCUGUAUCAGAAUAAGCAGAUGACCCUUCAUUUCCGCUGUCAUCAUUUUUGUUCGAAGAAGUAAUACCUUCUUUUUUCUGGUCUUUUCUUCUUUUCUUAUUUUCACGUUUCCUCCUGACAUUUUCGUCUUGCUCUUUCUUUCUUUUUUCUUUUAACGCGCGACUCUGUUCGUGAAAAUUAUCUUGUUGCUUUAUUUCCUCUUUAGAUUUAUGGACAUGACUGUGAUAAAGUACCUUUCCUCCCAUCGCAUCUUCAGUAAUCUUGAUCAAUUCCAAUGUCAUCCUAGGGCCUAUUUCAAUUAACUUAAUUGCCUGUUGCUUAGGUUUUAAUAGUUGAGAUGCCGAUAGUAGAUUCUCUUCAGUUUUAGUCGGUACAGGACGAUCAAUCUCUACGGUUGCAUCCUCUUCGAUUUCUGAGUCACUUGCUGCACCAGAAAUACCAUCACCAUGUAAAACAUAAUCCGAAAUAUCACGAACAUUGUGUAAAUCAGGGAUAUCAGAGUCCUUUUUUUCACCUUUCAACAGAUGUCUUAUAGGGCGAGAAAUACCCACAGGCUUCGUGCUAAUUAUGAAAUGACGAAGGUCGAUAUAACCAUCGUCGCGGCGGUUUAAUAACAGAACCCGUUUAACACUAUUAAUGUUGGUAUGUUGGACUGAAAUUGGAGGAAACAUAUUUUGAAAUGUAGUCGUUAGCAAAGCUUCAUGGGGAGAGUCUUUUGACGAAUUUUGAUUAAAAUGAUUCAUGACCAAAAGUGGAGGAGUAAGGAACUCUGUUGUUGGAGAUUUAGGAUUUUUUUGAAGUCUUCGAACAUCUUUGUUCAGCAUAUACUCAUGAAUCCUAAAAUGUAAUGAGGGACCUCUAGGAGCCCUAAUGAUUCUCAAGUUCGCAUUGUUGUCAGUGCGAGAGAGGACAAGAAGAUGUGUAACUCCAAGAGGUCCAGCCAUAGUCAAGUAAUCUUUUAUUUUAUUAGCUUUACGCUCCUUUAAUCGAAUAGCUGUAUGUGGUUCCAUCAUAUGUCGAAGAUCUCGAGUAAGCAAAGAUAAGCUUCUACCUACUUCAGAAGCGCCCGAUCGAAUUACCAUCUUAAAUAAGAAUUAGCAAAGGGACUAAAAAAUUUUACAAUUUUACAAAAUUGCACAUACCGAUUUAGGAAUUGCUGCUUCUUGUAUAGGAUCAGCUUUCAAAUGCGUCCUCUUUUUUACCUAUAAUUAAAUUAGUUUAAAUAAAGUAUUUCUUUUAAACUAUCCAUUCUCAACAUACCCGUUUUUUACCAAUGCCUCCCAUUCUUUGUGGUUGGUAGUUAAAAAAAAUUGUACACUCUCAAGAACACCAAUAUGCAAAGUUCAUUUCCGCCAACAUGACAAUAAAGAUGGCAAUAGACAUUAUUUUUUUGAAAGCUGAAUUUUCUAUUUUAACAUAUCUCAUUUACAUGCUGUGAACAUAAUUUGAGCGAGAAAUUUUUUAUACUAGUAUAGUUAAUAAUAAUGUUAUGGGCCUAGAAGUAAAAAAAGAAAAAAACACGUGAAAUUGAGAAUAAUGACC